rnacentral:rRNA from 1 species
UGGGGGAAUCUUGCGCAAUGGGCGAAAGCCUGACGCAGCGACGCCGCGUGCGGGAUGACGGCCUCGGGUUGUAAACCGCUUUCAGCAGGGACGAGGCCGCAAGGUGACGGUACCUGCAGAAGAAGCCCCGGCUAACUACGUGCC